GGAGAGGUGGGUGAGUGGCUGAAACCACCAGUUUGCUAAACUGGCGUACCUAUUGCUGGUACCGGGGGUUCGAAUCCCCCUCUCUCCG
rnacentral:tRNA from 1 species